ACAGGGAUUGCCCUAGUAACGGCGAGUGAAGCGGCAACAGCUCAAAUUUGAAAUCUGGCCCUCGGGUCCGAGUUGUAAUUUGUAGAGGAUGCUUUUGGCGCGGUGCCUUCCGAGUUCCCUGGAACGGGACGCCUUAGAGGGUGAGAGCCCCGUACGGUUGGACACCAAGCCUCUGUAAAGCUCCUUCGACGAGUCGAGUAGCUUGGGAAUGCUGCUCUAAAUGGGAGGUAAAUUUCUUCUAAAGCUAAAUAUUGGCCAGAGACCGAUAGCGCACAAGUAGAGUGAUCGAAAGAUGAAAAGCACUUUGAAAAGAGGGUUAAACAGCACGUGAAAUUGUUGAAAGGGAAGCGUUUGCGACCAGACCUUUUCCUAGCGGAUCAUCCGGUGUUCUCACCGGUGCACUUUGCUAGGUCUAGGCCAGCAUCGGUUUCUGUAGGGGGAUAAAAGCUCUGGGAACGUAGCUCCUCCGGGAGUGUUAUAGCCCUCUGCAUAAUACCCUUACGGGGACCGAGGACCGCGCUUCGGCAAGGAUGCUGGCGUAAUGGUCGUCAACGACCCG
rnacentral:rRNA from 1 species